ensembl:lincRNA
CAGGAAAUAAUAUUAGAUUUAGCAUUUUUUUAAGGAAGAAAAUAAAACCGAAUCGGAAUUGAAGCUGAUAGAAGAAGCCGUCCUAAAUCCCACAGUACUAAAAUUCCUGAGCAAGAGAUUCCUGAGGAAAGAGAUUUUACUUGUUUGGUGAAGACUGAAGCUAAUAUACAGGGUUAGAAGGGUCACGGAAGAGAAAGCCAAUGUGUAGACCACUUUUUGAAAAUGUGAUUUUGAGGCACUAUGAGGGACACGGAGAAAUCUGGAGAGGACUCAAUGUAGAGCGACGUUUCUUUGCAUUUGUGUGAGCCUCGACAGGCAGUUAUGCACCCCAGAGGAGGGUGAGCACAGCUCAGCGAGCAGAGGGGACGAACAAUGGAGCAAAUUUAUUAAGCGCUGGCUAAGAGUGUGGAGAUGCUACCUGGUGCCAGGGGAGGGCUUAGCCUGGGUAAAGAAGAACCUCAUUGGUGACUCCCAGGGACAUACUCUGUAGGACGAGGAUGAUGUCUAAAGGUCAGAUGGCAACAUACCAUGGGACACCGCUGGAUUCUCUAGGAAGCAGUAGCAAGAUAAUCCGCUGAAGCUGAACGUGAAAGAUGGAUGAUUUGAGGGGUGAAGAGAAAUCAGAUGCGCGGAAGAGGUACAAAAAGACCCAUGGAAGACUUGUCUGAUGAACUUGAAGUGCUGACCAUUCACGUUGUGAAGGAGCCAAAGGCACGAAUGUGUCACGAACCCAUCUGUGGGAUUGGGGAGGUGUCUCUAGGGGAUCUGAAAGCAGCUAUUCUUCAAUCAAAGCAGACAAUCUGCCACGCUGACCUCAGGAGGCCUGGACAUUAGCCUGCGAGUCUUCGUUCCUAGCAGGCAGACUACUCAGCCGCUCUGCAUCAGAGUCCUCAAGAUCGCACCUAAAUUUAUCUACUGUGGACAUUUAUGAGGAUUUGCAGCGGUUCAACCAAGGCUGGGGCACUGUCUGUGUCCCCUACAAAGGAAGCACCUGAUCCCCUGAAGAGGAGACGGGGAGGUGAGGAAAGGCGAGCUCCGGGUACAGUCAGUGGAGGCCACACAAACCAGCUGGAGGUGGUGAGUGCUUCUCGUUCCCCUAAAGAAGCCUGGGUGGCUGCUGAGAUACUCCAGAGAGGGAGGAGAGGCCUGUGUCUGUUGUUUUGAGCACUCGGGUUUUGAUUCUGGCCAGCUGCUUCCCUCUGGCUUCUUCAGUUUGGGCCGCAGGGUAGAGUUUGCUUGUAUCAGCCGAGCCAGCAUCUUGCAAGAGCUCUUCAUUCUUCUAGGUACAAAACAGGAAAACUGAGUCUCAGCUGGCCAUUUUUAGAUGAAGGAAAAGAGAAAACGCAAUGUUAACACCAUCAAACAUCAGCCCUGCAGCAGCGGGGAGGGAAGGAGGUCCGGCUGGACGUCCACAGAUUCAAGCUCUGCUCAGAUCUCUGUGAGCAAGCCAUGCUGUUCCCUGUCUUGCUUUUACCAUCCUUUAAAAUAAAGUGUGGGAGACAUCAGGGACCUGAUACGGGGUGGCCAGCUUCUCUGUCAUCAAGCGGCCGUCUUCCAAUCUAAUGCUACCUUAUACUGCUGGUGCUAGCACAGGGGGACCUGAAAGGAGGAGAGGGUACUUGGCACUCCCUUUCAAAGGAUUCAGUCCAGGGUCAGCAGCUCCAAGGCAGGAGCACCACGAGAGCAAUAUCGUUUGUAUUUUUGGGCUGCGUUUUGGAUAACUUAGAGAAGACAUGAAAUGCUUCAUAUUUGUUGUUCAGCUAGAGCUCGGAAUUCUACUUUAUAAUCCAAAUUGGUCAAACUAUUGAAUAGUGG